rnacentral:rRNA from 1 species
GACGAACGCUGGCGGCGUGCUUAACACAUGCAAGUCGAGCGAUGAAGUUCCUUCGGGAAUGGAUUAGCGGCGGACGGGUGAGUAACACGUGGGUAACCUGCCUCAUAGAGGGGAAUAGCCUUCCGAACGGAAGAUUAAUACCGCAUAAGAUCGUAGUUUCGCAUGAAACAGCAAUUAAAGGAGUAAUCCGCUAUGAGAUGGACCCGCGUCGCAUUAGCUAGUUGGUGAGGUAACGGCUCACCAAGGCGACGAUGCGUAGCCGACCUGAGAGGGUGAUCGGCCACAUUAGGACUGAGACACGGCCCAGACUCCUACGGGAGGCAGCAGUGGGGAAUAUUGCACAAUGGGGGAAACCCUGAUGCAGCAACGCCGCGUGAGUGAUGACGGUCUUCGGAUUGUAAAACUCUGUCUUCAGGGACGAUAAUGACGGUACCUGAGGAGGAAGCCACGGCUAACUACGUGCCAGCCGCCGCCGUAA